rnacentral:rRNA from 1 species
CGGGUGAGUAACGCGUGGGCAACCUGCCCCGCACUGGGGGACAACAGCCGGAAACGGUUGCUAAUACCGCAUAUGCGCACAGCUUUGCAUGAAGCAGUGCGGAAAACUCCGGUGGUGCGGGAUGGGCCCGCGUCUGAUUAGCUGGUUGGCGGGGCAACGGCCCACCAAGGCGACGAUCAGUAGCCGGCCUGAGAGGGUGGACGGCCACAUUGGGACUGAGACACGGCCCAGACUCCUACGGAAGGCAGCAG